CGUUUUCUAUCAUGCGCUGCAGUGUGCGCAAAUGUUCCUCUUCGUUUACGCUUGUAUCAAUAGGAUUCCAUCCGGAUUCCUCCCAGCGCCUGGUCGUCCUUCACACAGUUAAAGCAUCACAGGAAGUGGUUGAACAUGGUCACGACAGGCACAAUAUCAAUGCAGUUCGGAAAUGGGAGCUCCCGCUGUAAUGCAUGGCCUCAUGAGAUAAUGUAGAUCACAAUCAGCUGAAGGCAGGGGGAAAGCCGUCAGGCCAAGCCAGCAUCUAGGUAGCACAUUUCAAGUCAGUGUUUCAGUUAAACAUUCAACCAUUUAUGCCUAUUUUGUCCAGGACCAACCAAUUGGAUAUGGACAGUUCCACAGUUAGUUAAAUGAUGUGACAUUAGACGCUUACAAAUACUUUUUUUUAUAACAAAUUGGUUUUAUUUGUAAAAUGUAAAAGAAAUUCAUUAUCUGCAAAUAUAUUUAAGUGCUAAAGCUUUUUUGUCAGUACAGUCAUACAAACUUGUGCUCUACAACGCAAUACUUUAAUUAAACACAAAGCAGAUUUUGUUGGAUUGUCCAAGUUUACGCUUAAAAAAAAUGUAAAUUGGGACAGAUGCUGUUAAGCAGUGCAGGUGUUCUUCAGUUGUAGAAAUGCACUAACCAAUGGUUGAGAGCAGGGGUCUCAGUGCUUUUCAAAUGCUAGCCUUGCCCUUAAACAAGUUGAGCAGGUAAUUCCUGGAAACAUGCUGCAUCUCAGAGGACUCCUCCUGUGUGAAGACAUUCACAUAAUAAAAAAUGUCAGGAGGAGAAUCACAAUACGAGGCUCCAUGCAAGUUCUGUGAGGUGUCUCUGAGAUUGUGACAAGAAGUGAGGAUUGUGAAUGUGGAUUGAGGAAGCUGACAGUCCAUCAGAUACACUUGACAGGUCAUCAGCUUACUGGCUCAGACAAUUACCCCAAACAGAGGGAGCUACAAUACAGUUACAAAGUACAAUUCACACGUACAUACUCUACUGCAUCAUUGAAACCAGCCUCCUGGCUAUAUGUAAUUAAAUACAUUAAAAACAUAUUUAAAUAAGUAUGUACAACUGAACAUUGUGUCUCUUAUACGAUGCAAUAAAUUCAUUACUUGUUCAUAUUCCUUGUACCAUCUGUUUUAUAGUUUUGUUUUAAAAUAAACAGCAUUUGAUGGUUAUUUAUCAUAUAUAUUACAGUGUUGUUAGGAUUAGCCAGACCUUAAAUUAAUUUUGCUGACAAAUUAUACAGGCUGCUCAGAGAAAAUGAACUUACACAUUGAACCUUAGAUCAUGUAAGUAUAUGGUACCGCUUUCCAUUACAGCUACAUUAAAGCAGACAUGGUAUUGAAAAGUGAAUCCCAGAGUAGCGGUGUGCUGAGACUCAUGUUUCCCAUGUCACUACCUUCAAGAUGUAUUUGUCUGCAUGUAUUCAAUUAGUCAAAACAUGCCUGUUCAUUAAUGUGUUCAUUUCAAAAGAAGAAAAGCUGCCCUUCCCUCACCUUUACAAUCGAGUACUAAUCAAAGUCAAUUGACUUUGGCAUUGAGUGUUUUAAAAGCUGAUUGGAAGCGAAUUUUCCUCAUCUGGGACGCUGACAUUUGUAUUGCCAUACUGAAGCUGUAAUCUGUCAAUAAAAAUAUGUUGCAAAACUAGUAAAAGCAGCUGAUUUGUCGUGUAAAUGUGACCUUUAGUUAAACCUAACUGGAGCUACCACUGUGGAAACUGGAAUAUGUAUUUCUUUGUCGAGUUUAAUCAAAGAUAGCACCUUGCCCAGGACUACAAUCCCACAAUCCUCUGCAGAGAUGACACAUUUGUAAGGAAAUUAAAGAAUGUUAUUUCAUAUCACAAGGAUAAAAGAAAGGUAAGAUGAGAAAAUUGUUUAUAAAAUAUGUAUUUGUUUGAUCACGACAAUUUCUAUAUUAAAUAACACUGCCAGAUAGUUAUUGAUUGAUAAUCGAUAAUUGUCUAAACAAGGGAAGCUGAGGGACAGCAUUUGCUUUGUGUUGAGUAAUUAACGUAACAUAUACAGUAAAUAUCCACAGGGUAAACUGAUACCACAAGGAAAUAACAAUGAGAUAAUGUGACGUGUCACAAAAUAAUCAUGUAUUAGAUGCAGCUGGUUCGGUCACGUCAAAAGUACCAUAUUUAAAAAAAAAUAAAAUAACUAUUUGGUUUAAAUGCAGAGAAAUGAAAACAAAUCUACAUGUUAGCUAUCUUAUAUCUACAUGCUAAUAGUUUAUUUCUCUGUUGGGAUGUUGCUACAUGUCUAAUAAUGGAUGUUACCUAUACAGGGACUAUAAAGUAACUUGGCCACUUUGUGCUGUUGUUGGUUUUAAUGUAGAAGCCUUUCUCAAGGUGGCCAUGAUGCAGCAGUAAAUACAGGCCCCGGCUAUAAAGCCCUCUAUAUCAAGUCUUCCAAUUUUAAAUACUUUUUGGGGGUUCUAUAUUCAACUCAUGACAUGGGCAUUUGAAAUAUAACAGCAUUAUAAGAAAUAUGAUAGAUGUAUUAUAUGUGUGACAGUAUAAAAUAAAGCCAGAUAUUUUUUUCAGGGGGCCUCUGUAAAGACUGGAAGUCGGGUAGCUUUAGCCGAACAAGCUCCAUCCAGGUCCUGUGGUCUCAAUCAGGAGAGUUCAAAACACUGAUGCCUCUCUCUGCUACAUAAAGGAAUCCGGCCUUUUUAAUCUUGAAAUUUGAAUGCUCAUCCUGAA